GCCCCAGUAGCUUAAACCUAAAGCGCCGGUCUUGUAAUCCGGAAAUCGGAGGUUAAAAUCCCCCCUGAGGCC
rnacentral:tRNA from 1 species